GACGGAGGAUGCAAGCGUUAUCCGGAAUGAUUGGGCGUAAAGCGUCCGCAGGUGGCAGUUCAAGUCUGCUGUCAAAGACCGGGGCUUAACUUCGGAAAGGCAGUGGAAACUGAACAGCUAGAGUAUGGUAGGGGCAGAGGGAAUUCCUGGUGUAGCGGUGAAAUGCGUAGAUAUCAGGAAGAACACCCGUGGCGAAGGCGGCUCUCUGGGACGGUACUGACGCUGAGACGCGAAAGCGUGGGGAGCGAACAGG
rnacentral:rRNA from 1 species